GAUUUGUAUCAUUUGCGUAUUUGUUUUUUGUAAACAGAGCCAGGUAGCAUUUAAGAGUCAGAUCGUGAUGCAUCUGGUUGAAACUUGUUCUGAAGGUUAGUUAUAGGUGCGUGGUUGGGGACAUAAACAUGAGGGCAGAAGCCGUUACCAUUGUGAGCCGAAUGUGUAUUUGCCCUAGAAUUCAAAACAGACUAGUUGAGGAUGUGGGAUUUCUAUGUGCAGUAUGUACAAAGGACGGGAUCUCUUCAAUAUUUUCAGUCUAGGAGUUGAUUUCUUUUGUGCUUUUGGCGUGUUAGGUGAUGACUGCGCGGUUGCUGAAGAUGUGGUCAGGCCACAACCUUAGGUCCUUCCUCUUGCGUUUGGUGUCCAGCAAGUGAAUAUGCCACGAAGCUAGCCAUAAUUGUGGAGAGGAAGGGGUGCGUCGCAUUCCAAUUGCUUCUGUGACCGUCGAUGAUCUCAUUUUCAUAUGUUGAUGUGCAUCAUGUAGUCGAGUCCUUUCUGUCUGGUAGAGGCUCUCGGAAUAUGUCAGUACAAAAGUUAUAUGGUAAUCUUUCUGUCUUUUUGUGAACAGUUGAGCAUUUACGUCGUUUGUCUUCAGUAUGGAUGGGAUUCCGCUGGUUUCUAGGACUGAGAUCUGCACAGCGCGCCUCUAGGACACAGCAUUUCAUCAUCAGAAUAAUGGUGCAAGAACACUCCUUCCUCUGUUCUACGGGUUCUAGUGUCUUUGAGGGUCUAAUCAAUAUGUGCAGGCUUUAGUGUCUCUGUAUAGAGCCCAACUCCUUUCAGUAUGUGCUCAACUCUCUUACAAAUCGGGCUUUAGCACUGCUGAUGAUCUAUGUUUGGAUGUAAUUAGGUGCUUCAAUCUACACUCGUGACUUGAAGUGAGUUUGACCUUAAACUUUA